rnacentral:lncRNA from 10 species
CAGAAGGAAGAAACUCUGGAGACAUCUGAACAUCUGAGGGAACAAACUUUGGACACACCAUCUUUAAGAGCUGUAACACUCACUGUGAGCAUCUGUGGCUUCAUUCUUGAAGUCAGCAAGACUGAACCCACCAGAAGGAACCAAUUCCGGACACACCAUCAUUUAAAAUCACUAACAUUUUAUAAGAGGAAGAAAAUGUUUAAAUAUGUAGGAAAAUAUAUAACAAUACACCAGCAGAAUAAAAAAUAGGAGUAGAAACGUAAUAAAUUUAACUUUAUAAAUGUUUGCCUCAUAAUUGUUUUUCCCCAUAGGCAUAUAAAAACUUUGUUAUAGACCUGGGCAUGGGGGCUGUGGAUUAAAAGCUUAUUGAGGCAUUGCUUUAGUUAUGGGAUUUCAGCAACCAAAAAACCGUGAUGGUCCUAUCAGCAUUUCAAAGCUAUUUAAAUUGAUAUGAACCACAAACUGAGCUAUAAAUCCAAUUUCUUUUAUUUUCUGAUACAAUAAACCAAAACAUCAAAUUCUAACAUCACUCUCUUAAGUAUCUCCUCCUCAGAAUUGUCCAUGAACCCCAAAGAUUUACCAGGUCCAAGGGUGAAAGUGGGACUUGAGUUCUCAGUGCAAAAGAAAACCCUCAAUGCACCACUGCAAUUGCUUCUUGUCACAUGGUGGCGCUGUUGAAGCUUAGUCCUGCACAGCCCUGGCAAUAAAGGAACUGCCUAGGCCACCAAGGAUCUUCAGGGGUCUUCAAGCCCUUUCCGAAGUAAUGCUUGCCACCAAAAGCAUUCUAUAUUAGAGCUUCAAAGUUGCAGCUCUUAAAGAUAUGCUCUUUCAUCUCACAUAGAGGGGAACCUUCCAGAACACCAACUAGCCUAGGAGCAGUUCUAACAGCCACCACCUCAGCCUACAGAACUGGCACUCCCCUUUCCUCCAUGUCAACCACUUUGGCAGGAAUGGGGCAGAUUUUGCUUUGCACACUUUGACCAGAGAAAUGCUCACCACGUCCCCUCCCUGGACACUCAGAUCUCCAUGCAGGGGAAGCCCUGAGUGGCCCUGUUGAACAGAGAGUCCUCUCAGUGAUAGCCAGGUGAGUGUGCACUUAGGCCUAUGCUGCAGAAAGGCUGCCAUCUCUCUGUGAUAUUCUCAGCAGCCCCCCUCUCUCUCUCCCCACUCCGACCCCGGCUAGACAUUGCUCCAGAGAGAACGCCCUGCUUAACGGCCAUCAUGCCAAUCUCAAAAUCUGCUUUCUGGGGAUGCCAGACGGCAAUGCUGGGCUGUACUUCAGAAGUUCUGGUCCUGACCAUUGGAUUCCUUAGGAUCACAACAGACAGCACGAAUAACUCACAUGCUUACAAAGGUGAGCAGCUACUGCAAAGGAACGUGGGAAUACGCCCUAGAGGUCACUGGCCUCAGCAGCAGCCAGUUGAUCCAGCAUCCUGUCUGCACUUUACAAAUUGGCGGGAGGAAGUACAGCACUGCUGCAGAUGGCAAUGUCACCCAUCGUGGUGUUCUGGACAGAUCCAGUUACGUUGUCUGGCUCAUUCAGUAGGAUGUGUCCACAUCCUGCACCCCUUGAGCACAUCGGGGUGAGCAGCUGUUCACUCUGAAGACGUGUGUGGUUUCAUAUCUCUGAAAGGCUGGAUGCCCAAGCCACAAAGGCUAACCUGGGAAAAGAUCACUGGGGACACUUUCUCAAAAGGUGGCUGCACAGCAGGUGGCUCUAGGGAUGUCUAGGCUUCUUUCUCACCUGACCCAGCCAUCCUGACAACAAGCAGUAGAGCACUGGGGUUUAGGGUAGUGGCUCUCAAAGUGGUCUGUGGACCAGUAUGAGCAUCACCUGGGAAAUUAUUUUGAAAUGUAAAUUCCCAGGCCCUGCUCCAGACUUACUGAAUCAGAGACUGGGUGUGGGACCAGGGAGCUGCAUUCUAACAAGCCCCACAAGGGGUUCUGAUGCAAACAUUUCAGAUUAGUGUUUGGGGACUUUUUCUGUAAAAGGCCAGAUAGUAAAUAUCUCAGGCUUUAUGGACUAUGUGGACCCUGUAAGCAGCCAGGGAUAGCCUGCAAACGGAUGAGGGUGGCUGUGUCCCAAUCAAACUGUAUUUGUAGAUGCUGAAAUUUGCAUUUCGUGUAAUUUGAUGAUGUCAUGAAAUAUUCUCUUAUUUUAAUUUUGUCAACCAUUUAAAAAUGUAAAAAACAAUUUUUAGUUGCCAGGCCAUACAACAGGCAGUCUUCCAGAUUGACCCCAGCCUGUAGGUGCCACCCCUCGUGUUGAGUUCGGACUGGAUUGGAAUCCUGGAGCUCCCCUAACCAGACGACUCAACUGAGGCUCAAUA